UGUGGCACAGCACCCAAGAGAGCAGCAGUGACCAGCUCGGAUGUGCCGAAGGACAUCACGGACAUCCAGGGUUUGCUCUCUUGGAUCAAUGAGGUGGCAAGAGCUGUUGAGGUCCCCCGUGAGAACCCCAGCAACCCUGCCCCAGGAUGCUUCAUUGCUGAGCUCCCCGACAACCCCAGGGACA